UCCUACCACCGGAGGCAGCCGUCGUGGGCGAGCGAGCGACGGCGGCAGCCGGAUCGAGGGAGCCCGCGGCGCCAUGACGGGUCGCUCGACCCACUCGCUGCCCCCGGCCGGCCCGUCCGCACGCCUCCCCGCCAACGGGCUCACCUCCUCUUUUCCCAGACCCCUUGUCGCGAACGAUUCCCCCAACCCGAUCCCACCACCACGAGCGCGCCGCCGUCGUGCCCCUCAUCGAGCGCACCGCCGCCGGCCACCUGCCUAGCACCGCCGCCCCCCUCCCCAGCGCGCCUCGGCCGGCCACUACCCCACCACUUUCCCCAUGACCUCUUCCCUCAAUCUCUGGAUCCCCCCAAACUCGUGGCCGCAUUUCUCGUCAUAGUACGCCGGCGACCCCGCUCUUCCUCCUCCCGACCGAGUGCGCCACCGGCCCCGCUCUUCUUCCUCAUCUCAGCCAUGUGCGUCGCCGCUCCCGCGCAUGAUUCCUCCUCCUGCCAUGCGCGCCGCCGCCCCGCGCCAACAUCCUCCUCCUAGCACGCGCGCUGCCAUCCCCACGCAUCCUUCCUCCUCCUAGCAUGCGCCCCUCCGUCCCUGCGCCUCCCUCCUCCAAGCACGUCCCCACCCCCUUCCCCCUCCCGGCAUGCGCACCGCGGCCCCGACCUUCCUCCCGCACUCACCACCGCUCGCCCCCAUCUCCUCCCUGCUUCCAUAGCUGCCUCAACCCCAUCUCCUCCUAGGUUCCUGCCGCCGCCCCACCCCCAUCUUCCCCAGCUCCGGCCGCCGCACCGCACCUACAUCCCCAAGCUCCGGCCGCCGCAGCGCCCCAUCUCCCCUCGCUCCCACACCACGCCAUCUCCUCCCAGUGGGGCUCCGCCGCCGAAGCGAUCUGGCCGUUCACACCCACCACCCCUGUCCGUUCACCUGUACAAGAUGACCAGGCCGAGGAGGCAGCGAUCUAGUAGAGUUCAUUUACUGAAGGUGUUCACCUUUUGUGUGAUUAUCAGUUCACGUUUGGUGUGAUUUUCUGUUCAGCAAGCUUACUAUUUCAUCAUCAGGAUGUAGCAAAAAAGCAAGAUUCACAAGUUCAUCUUCUGGUUGCUUUUUAGUACAUCUACUUCCCGUUGAUCAUGAUCUUGAGAGGCUCACCGUCGAGGCUGAAGAAGGGGGAGAUGUAGAUGCUGGACUACUCAGGGGUCAGGGCCUUUGCCGCUGAUGUUGUGUUGUGUUAGGUCAACACGAAGUACUAGAAUUAUUUUGCAGGAAGAGAAGGCAGCGAGAAGAUGUUCCAGGUGACACGCCCUUCCAUCAAAAAAAAGUUCAAACAUAGCAAAAAGUCACAGAAAAGGAUGUGAACAUAGCAUACUCCCAUGGUUGUAUGAGUAAACAUACACUAAGUGUAGACGUUCACCAUGUGCUUUAUCAUCAGUUCAAAAAAAAAGCUCUGUGUGUGCUACUGAAAUUGACAUGGUUUAGUUUGCUUUUACUUGUAUUCUAUUGAUAGAUCAACAAUAUUUGCUUGUGUACUGAAGUGACUAAUUUGAACCA